rnacentral:ncRNA from 1 species
CCCGGUGAACUUAAGCAUAUCAAUAAGCGGAGGAAAAGAAAAUAAGAAUGAUUUCCCUAGUAAUGGCGAGUGAAGAGGAA